rnacentral:tRNA from 1 species
UAUUGAAGUGGCAGAUUUAAGUGCAAAGGAUUUAAGCUCCUUUUAUGAAUUUUUCCUUUAAUAA